AAGUCGUAACAAGGUUUCCGUAGGUGAACCUGCGGAAGGAUCAUUAAUACACGAUUCCAAUCGUAUAAACCUAACGCGCACUUGUUUCGUACCCCAAGUCUAUAUGAGCCGCAAAGCAGAAGGGUUGAGGUAGUGUGAGGAGCGCGAACUUCGGUUCGAGUUUCUCGCCCUUCUGUCCGCUUUGGUCCCUUCAUUGGGCGUCAGGGGGGUUUGUAUAGACUACGCUACUGCGUCCUUACGGCCUAUUCGGGUUGUCUGGGCGCUGUUUUACAUUUUACCUUUUUCAACCCAUUUGUACCCAAUGUACUAAAAUUUUUUCAGUUUCGUAAGAAACAAAAGAACAACUCUUAGCAACGGAUAUCUAGGCUCUC
rnacentral:misc_RNA from 1 species